AGCGUAGACGGAAUGGCAAGUCUGAUGUGAAAGGCCGGGGGCUCAACCCCGGGACUGCAUUGGAAACUGUCAAUCUAGAGUACCGGAGGGGUAAGUGGAAUUCCUAGUGUAGCGGUGAAAUGCGUAGAUAUUAGGAGGAACACCAGUGGCGAAGGCGGCUUACUGGACGGUAACUGACGUUGAGGCUCGAAAGCGUGGGGAGCAAACA
rnacentral:rRNA from 1 species